AUGGACCUACCUGCAGCUGAUGCUCAGUAUCACUCCAAGUGUUACAAUGCUUUCAGGAAGGUACCUAUUGACUCAAGUGCAACUGCUAGUAAACCAGUUGACAGCUGCCUAGCUUCGGUCAUAGACCACAUGAGUGCAAACAAGUCAGUGACUUGGACUGUCUCCGAGUUACAUGAUGUUUAUGUAGCUAAUUCUGGGAAUUUGUGCCGGAAGCAAAUGCUAGCCAACCUAUGUGAUUAUUAUGGUGAUGCCGUUAUUGUACUGAGAGUUGAAGGAUGCCAGACGAUUGUUGGCUUUAGGCAGUACAUAGGUAAAUCACUCAAAUUAGUAGGACAAACUGGCCUCUUCAAUGACGACGAUGAUGAUGUCAACAAGGUUGUCAGAAAAGUGCGGGCAGAGGUCCAGAAUAUUCCAUUGCCUCGUGAAUACGACCUUGGCAGCUUUACGCAUGAAAGGGUCAUUCAAGAUACAAGUCCAACUCUCCUAAGACUUGUCUCCAGUCUUGUGUCCAGGGAAGAAACGGUGACCAAACCAGCACUCACACUUGCUCAAUGCAUCCAGCAGCACAUCAGUAAAAGAUGGAAUCAGACAACUUUGGGGCUCGCUGUAAAACUUCAUCAUAAGUAUGGUAGUUCAGAACUGGUUCGGAACCUAAAUGAGCAUGGUCUUGUUGUAACAUAUGAUGAGGUCCUCCGGUUCCGGAAGUCAGCUGCCAAAUAUGCCUCAGAUGAUGCAGAUAAGUACCUGCGGGUAUUAGGACUGGAGAGGUGCAUUGGCCCUAUUCACAGUUGGGGUGAUAAUUUUGAUCUUGUAGUCUUCACACCCAAUGGUUGCCGCACAACACAUGCCAUGGCCACUCAGUUUGUGCAGUUGAGUUGCCCAGAUUCAGUUUUAACUCUUGCGUUUGGCGGAGUUUUAACGGGGUCCUUGUUGGAUCUUCCGACUUGCGGACCAACCUGGACAUCCCUUCUGCCAUUCUGGCAUGGCCCUAGCGACUUGCAGGGCCUGUCUUGUAUGGUAUGUAUAUACUGA
ensembl:lncRNA